UACAGGGGUCUCAAGCGUUGUUCGGAAUCACUGGGCGUAAAGGGUGCGUAGGCGGCGGAGAAAGUCGGGUGUGAAAUUUGCGGGCCUCAACCCGGUAAGUUGCACUUGAUACUACUUUGCUAGAGAUCUGGAGAGGAGCUUGGAAUUCUCGGUGUAGCAGUGAAAUGCGUAGAUUUCGAGAGGAACGCUCGCAGCGAAAGCGAAGCUCUGGCCAGAUUCUGACGCUGAGGCACGAAGGCUAGGGGGAGCGAACGGG
rnacentral:rRNA from 1 species